AGCUUUGAGGUGUUUUCACAUUGGAUUGCAAAUCCAAAGAAGCAGGCUAACACCUGCCGGGGCUU
rnacentral:tRNA from 1 species